rnacentral:lncRNA from 1 species
AGAAGAUAUAGAAUAUCAAGGUUGAUAAUUAUAGACUGCGUUUGUAUUUGCUUCUUUUAUGGAAGAAGCCAGAUAAUUUCCACAGUAUUUAUUAUUAUUAUUUUUUUUCCAUAUACAUUGUUUUUGCAGAUUAUGUAAUUCCCAAAGGAUGUUUUAUAGUUCCUUUUCUUUCGGCUGUCCAUUUGAAUGAAAAUAUAUACGGGGAUGCUCUCACUUUUAAUCCUUGGAGAUGGAUGAUUCCAGAAAAUCAGGUUAGUCUCAGCAAAACACAUGGACUCAAGUCUAAUUGUUAUUUUUAUAUAAUAUAUUAAAAAUAAAAUUUAAAUGAAAACACGUAUCUAUUUGAACAACUUAAUAUUUUAGACGAGACGAUUAACCAUAAUAACACGUAGACACAAAUUUGUUUCACUUUCUCUGUGUUCUAAAGCAUCUUUUUUUUCUCCAUCUUAAAGGAGAAGAGGAAUUGGAGAAGUAGUCCAUUUUUUGCUCCGUUCGGUGGAGGUGCACGAUUUUGUCCAGGUGCUGAGCUGGCUCGACUUCAAAUUGCAAUGUUUCUUCACUAUUUUGUCACUACGUAUAGGUAAUUUACAUUUUGGCGUUAAUUUUUUGUCUUAGAAAAAUUAAAGUUAGGCUCGUAAGAAAAAUUCAAAAAUAGGUUUUGAUAUUUUGUGUUCAUUUUGCGCGUCGCGAAAGGGUUAAUCAAGGAGUAUUGUUCGAUUAUUUUAGGUGGAAGCAACUCAAGGAUGACAAGAUGUCUUUCUUUCCAUCAGCUCGAUUGGUGAAUGGCUUCCAAAUCCAAUUAAGCAAAAUAUGGCCUGAUCACAUCAAUGUGAAGUAAAUUAGUUGCAGCAAUGUAUAAUACAAAAUUCUAUGUCAUUGUUUCUCUCUUCUUGUUCUCUAAGUUAUUUUGAAUUUGUGUGUUAUUUGUGUACUAAAAGAAAGCGUUU